UACGUAGGGCGCGAGCGUUGUCCGGAUUUAUUGGGCGUAAAGAGCUCGUAGGCGGCCUGUCGCGUCGGAUGUGAAAGCCCGGGGCUUAACCCCGGGUCUGCAUUCGAUACGGGCAGGCUAGAGUGUGGUAGGGGAGAUCGGAAUUCCUGGUGUAGCGGUGAAAUGCGCAGAUAUCAGGAGGAACACCGGUGGCGAAGGCGGAUCUCUGGGCCAUUACUGACGCUGAGGAGCGAAAGCGUGGGGAGCGAACAGG
rnacentral:rRNA from 1 species